rnacentral:misc_RNA from 1 species
CAGAGUAUAAAUUGAGAGACAGCCUAAUAAAUGGAACAACUAAAAUCAGCUACCACAAUAUCUUCUUAAUACAUGUUAUUCAAAGUUGCAGAAGUUUAGCAAUGAGAAGCGACCAAACACAGGCAACAUUGGAUAAAGAAGUCACAUUGAAAUUAUCAGAAGAAUAUAAUCCAACUAGGCUAAACGUCAAAAAGUGCAAAAAAAAAAAAAAAAAAAAA